GCCCUCAUAGUCUAGCCUGGACAGGAUGCUGGCUUCCGGAGCCUGUGACCGGGGUUCAAAGCACUUUCUUUAUGCGCCGCACAAAGAACCUGCACUAAGAAAGCGGGAAAAUCCCCGUGAGGGCG
rnacentral:tRNA from 1 species